rnacentral:rRNA from 1 species
CUGGGUGGAUUAGUGGCGAACGGGUGAGUAACACGUGAGUAACCUGCCCUUAACUCUGGGAUAAGCCUGGGAAACUGGGUCUAAUACCGGAUAGGAGCGUCCACCGCAUGGUGGGUGUUGGAAAGAUUUAUCGGUUUUGGAUGGACUCGCGGCCUAUCAGCUUGUUGGUGAGGUAAUGGCUCACCAAGGCGACGACGGGUAGCCGGCCUGAGAGGGUGACCGGCCACACUGGGACUGAGACACGGCCCAGACUCCUACGGGAGGCAGCAGUGGGGAAUAUUGCACAAUGGGCGAAAGCCUGAUGCAGCGACGCCGCGUGAGGGAUGACGGCCUUCGGGUUGUAAACCUCUUUCAGUAGGGAAGAAGCGAAAGUGACGGUACCUGCAGAAGAAGCACCGGCUAACUACGUGCCAGCAGCCGCGGUAAUACGUAGGGUGCGAGCGUUAUCCGGAAUUAUUGGGCGUAAAGAGCUCGUAGGCGGUUUGUCGCGUCUGUCGUGAAAGUCCGGGGCUUAACCCCGGAUCUGCGGUGGGUACGGGCAGACUAGAGUGCAGUAGGGGAGACUGGAAUUCCUGGUGUAGCGGUGGAAUGCGCAGAUAUCAGGAGGAACACCGAUGGCGAAGGCAGGUCUCUGGGCUGUAACUGACGCUGAGGAGCGAAAGCAUGGGGAGCGAACAGGAUUAGAUACCCUGGUAGUCCAUGCCGUAAACGUUGGGCACUAGGUGUGGGGACCAUUCCACGGUUUCCGCGCCGCAGCUAACGCAUUAAGUGCCCCGCCUGGGGGAGUACGGCCGCAAGGCUAAAACUCAAAGGAAUUGACGGGGGCCCGCACAAGCGGCGGAGCAUGCGGAUUAAUUCGAUGCAACGCGAAGAACCUUACCAAGGCUUGACAUGUUCUCGAUCGCCGUAGAGAUACGGUUUCCCCUUUGGGGCGGGUUCACAGGUGGUGCAUGGUUGUCGUCAGCUCGUGUCGUGAGAUGUUGGGUUAAGUCCCGCAACGAGCGCAACCCUCGUUCCAUGUUGCCAGCACGUAGUGGUGGGGACUCAUGGGAGACUGCCGGGGUCAACUCGGAGGAAGGUGAGGACGACGUCAAAUCAUCAUGCCCCUUAUGUCUUGGGCUUCACGCAUGCUACAAUGGCCGGUACAAUGGGUUGCGAUACUGUGAGGUGGAGCUAAUCCCAAAAAGCCGGUCUCAGUUCGGAUUGGGGUCUGCAACUCGACCCCAUGAAGUCGGAGUCGCUAGUAAUCGCAGAUCAGCAACGCUGCGGUGAAUACGUUCCCGGGCCU